AGACAAACGCUGGGAAUUUUAAGUUCCUUGAGGAAAGUCCAUGCUCACACAAGCUGAGAUGCUUGUAGUGUUCGUGUCUAGGGAAAAAAUAACCUAGAGUAGUUUAUACUAACGGCGAUAAACGUUCCUAAGUCCUUGGAUAUGGAACGUUUUCAUAAAGUGCCACAGUGACGAGUCUUUUCGAAAGAAAAGAGUGAAACGUGGUAAACCCCGCGAGUGAGAAACCCAAAUUUGGUAGGGGAGUCUUAACAAAGAAAUUGAACAGAGUUAAGGACCAGAAAUGGUAGAUAAAUGUUUGUCUUCUGAUUUAUCAGAAACAGAACAUGGCUUAUU
rnacentral:RNase_P_RNA from 1 species